rnacentral:rRNA from 1 species
UACGUAGGGUGCGAGCGUUGUCCGGAUUUAUUGGGCGUAAAGAGCUCGUAGGUGGUCUGUUGCGUCGGUUGUGAAAAUCCAGGGCUCAACCCUGGACCUGCAGUGGGUACGGGCAGACUAGAGUGCGGUAGGGGAGAUCGGAAUUCCUGGUGUAGCGGUGAAAUGCGCAGAUAUCAGGAGGAACACGGUGGCGAAGGCGGAUCUCUGGGCCGUAACUGACGCUGAGGAGCGAAAGCAUGGGGAGCGAACAGG